rnacentral:rRNA from 1 species
GGUUGAAGCUGUCCUUUGUCAACCUGAUAUUGUCAGACCUCAGAAGUUAAGCAAGGCUGGACAUGGUUAGUGCUUGGAUGGGAGACCGCUGGGAAUAUCAGGUGCCACGGUGA